UGCCAGCAGCCGCGGUAAUACGGAGGGGGUUAGCGUUGUUCGGAAUUACUGGGCGUAAAGCGUACGUAGGCGGAUUAAUAAGUUAGAGGUGAAAUCCCAGGGCUCAACCCUGGAACUGCCUUCGAAACUGCUACACUUGAGUGCGGGAGAGGGAAGCGGAAUUCCUGGUGUAGAGGUGAAAUUCGUAGAUAUCAGGAGGAACACCAGCGGCGAAAGCGGCUUCCUGGCCCGAUACUGACGCUCAUGUACGAAGGCGUGGGGAGCAAACAGGAUUAGAUA
rnacentral:rRNA from 1 species